GUGGGGAAUAUUGGACAAUGGGCGAAAGCCUGAUCCAGCAAUGCCGCGUGAGUGAUGAAGGCCCUAGGGUUGUAAAGCUCUUUUACCCGGGAUGAUAAUGACAGUACCGGGAGAAUAAGCUCCGGCUAACUUCGUGCCAGCAGCCGCGGUAAUACGAGGGGAGCUAGCGUUGUUCGGAAUUACUGGGCGUAAAGCGCGCGUAGGCGGUUUUUUAAGUCAGAGGUGAAAGCCCGGGGCUCAACCCCGGAAUAGCCUUUGAAACUGGAAAACUAGAAUCUUGGAGAGGUCAGUGGAAUUCCGAGUGUAGAGGUGAAAUUCGUAGAUAUUCGGAAGAACACCAGUGGCGAAGGCGACUGACUGGACAAGUAUUGACGCUGAGGUGCGAAAGCGUGGGGAGCAAACAGGAUUAGAAACCUCGGUAGUCC
rnacentral:rRNA from 1 species